GCCCAUCUGUAAAUCUGAGCUGAAAUUUUAAAAGCACACAUCAGAGGAAGGGGCCAGACCUACUGGAGCAGGGUUUUUUGCAAGAAACGCAGGGAGACAAAGGAGAAGCAGCAUUUAGGCCCCCUUUGCCCAGUAUAUUCUAGGUUAGCACCAGAAAUAUAUAUGGGUCAGAGCCAACCUUAGGCAACAGGGUCCUUAUAUUAUUUGAUUAAGGAAGUUUUGCCCUGCCCCUUGCAUGAUCAAGAGCUGGUGUAUGGAAACAAGCCAGGCAAGAACCUUACCUGGAUGCCAUCCUGCCAGCUCAGCAUUUGGGUUUGGGGAAGAGGCUAGCCUUUCCCCUGGCUUGAUCAGAUGCCUGGGAUUCUAACUGUGUGUUCACAGUUGUGGGGAGAGGCAAGCUAUUGACAGGAGUCACAUAUUUGUUCGUGAUUGUUGUCAGCAAUCCUGCCUGGCAUGAUGGAGACAGAGGGCUGGAUUCUAAGCCUUGCCUUUGUCUGAUGUACCCUGAAGACUUUUGGUUUGGGAACUUGAGGAGGUCACAGGAUAGGAUAAAAUUCAUUUUACUGAAGUAUACUGGUUAUGAAAAUUGCUUGUUCCAGUGGGCGAUUUCACUACUUCAUUUACAGCAAAAGCAAAAGAUAUUUGCCAAUGAACAAUAACCUGGAUGCUCAAAGGAUGAUAACCCUGAGGUUGAGGGAUACCAAGUACCUUGUCCACAAUUCAGCAACAAUGGGACAGGUGUGAUACAAACCUCUUGUUCCAUCUUGUUCUCUUUCUGCUUGACCAUUGCACCAUUGAGAGAAGUGAAACUUGGGCUGAGUCUACAAGGGGCACCCAAAAUAACCAUGGUGUGUUUAUGUUCAUUUAAAAUCAUAAAAUUUGUGUAGGAAAUAGUUUUCCAGAAUGACUACUUAUAUGGAUUAAAUAAAUCAGA
rnacentral:lncRNA from 10 species